rnacentral:rRNA from 1 species
CGCAAUGGGCGAAAGUCUGACGGAGCGACGCCGCGUGAUUGAUGAAGCUUUUCGGAGUGUAAAGAUCUUUUAUGAGGGAAGAAGUUUAUUGACGGUACCUCAUGAAUAAGGGGCUCCUAAUCUCGUGCCAGCAGGAGCGGUAAUACGAGAGCCCCGAGCGUUAUCCGGAAUUAUUGGGCGUAAAGGGUGUGUAGGUGGUAGUGUUAGUCGUUUGUUAAAUCCUCGGGCUUAACCUGAGAAUCGCGAACGAACCGGCACAACUAGAGAGUGUGAGGGGUAUAGGGAACUCAUGGUGUAGGGGUGAAAUCCGUUGAUAUCAUGGGGAACACCAAAAGCGAAGGCACUAUACUAUCACAUAUCUGACACUCAAGCACGAAAGCGU